rnacentral:rRNA from 1 species
AACGUAGGAGACGAGCGUUAUCCGGAUUUACUGGGCGUAAAGCGUGUGCAGGCGGUUCGGCAAGUUGGAUGUGAAAUCUCCUGGCUCAACUAGGAGAGGUCGUUCAAUACUACCAGACUUGAGGGCAUCAGAGGAAGGUGGAAUUCCGGGUGUAGUGGUGAAAUGCGUAGAUAUCCGGAGGAACACCAGUGGCGAAGGCGGCCUUCUGGGAUGCUCCUGACGCUCAGACACGAAAGCUAGGGGAGCGAACGGG